rnacentral:rRNA from 1 species
CCUACGGGUGGCUGCAGUAACGAAUCUUCCGCAAUGGGCGAAAGCCUGACGGAGCAAUGCCGCGUGUGGGAUGAAGCGUCUAUGACGUGUAAACCACUGUCAGGAAGCAGAAACAAUGAUCGCUUCCAGAGGAAGUGGCGACUAACUCUGUGCCAGCAGUCGCGGUAAUACAGAGGCCACGAGCGUUAGUCGGAAUCACUGGGCUUAAAGGGUGCGUAGGCGGCUCGCCAAGUGUCUUGUGAAAUACCUCAGCUCAACUGAGGAACAGCAGGGCAUACUGGCGGGCUCGAGGCAGGUAAGGGUCGCUGGAACAGUAGGUGGAGCGGUGAAAUGCGUAGAUAUCUACUGGAACGCCGAUGGUGAAGACGAGCGACUGGGCCUGUCCUGACGCUGAGGCACGAAAGCGUGGGGAGCAAACAGGAUUAGAUACCCCAGUAGUC